rnacentral:rRNA from 1 species
UACGGAGGGGGCUAGCGUUGUUCGGAAUUACUGGGCGUAAAGCGUACGUAGGCGGCUUUGUAAGUUAGAGGUGAAAGCCCGGGGCUCAACCCCGGAAUUGCCUUUAAGACUGCAUCGCUUGAAUCAUGGAGAGGUGAGUGGAAUUCCGAGUGUAGAGGUGAAAUUCGUAGAGAUCGGGAAGAACAUCGGUGGCGAAGGCGCUCUACUGGACCACAACUGACACUCAGGGACGAAAGCUAGGGGAGCGAAUGGG